GCUUACGGCCAUACCACCCUGAGAACGCCCGAUCUCGUCUGAUCUCGGAAGCUAAGCAGGGUCGGGCCUGGUUAGUACUUGAAUGGGAGACCGCCUGGGAAUACCAGGUGCUGUAAGCU
rnacentral:rRNA from 1 species